CCGCAAACACAACAUGCAGCUGUAUAUAAGGACAUACCUAACAAAAAGGAUCCAUACAUUUGUGUGACUGGCGAAGGUUGGGGACACCAUUGUAGUUCAUGGAAAGCUGCCGGGUGGAACACAGGUAGACCAUGGGGCUACAGACCCCAAGUUGCAUUAGACAAGCUUGACAAAGACGGGAAACCCUUGCUCUCUAGAAUGACCCUGAGUAAACCCAUAGGGUCAACUCCCAUUAAACUCACCUUAAACAUAGAACACCCUAGUCCAAGGGAUGCAGGGGAGUAUGUGAUGGGAAUGUACUGGAAGGGAGGUGGCUCACAUAACGCAUUAGGGACCUUUUACUUGCAAGAUAUGCUAAAUUCCUCUGAUUGGGUGGGAACCACACAUAUGGUCAUUAACCCAUUGAAACCACACAUCAAAACCCUACAUGACAUGGUAGCCAUAGCCAACCCCACCUUUGAAGAUACCAUGGCAGUAGAAACAGGGUUUUCAGAUACCAAUUUAUGGCUAGAAUGGAUGAGGUACAACGCCAACUCACACAAUAAGACUAAUUGUUAUGUAUGCGGAGGUGCCAGACCCCAUCUGGGUACAGUACCUCUGAGUUUACCUCCGGAAAUAGAAUUAUGUGUACUGAGUUUGUAUGCACAAUCCACCACUAACUCCUCAACAUGUGAAUCCUGGAAGAAGAUUUACCCAAUCACUCACGGACAUGUGAAACCACCCGAUGGAGUCACCAUCUACCCAGGUAAUUACACAUGCUAUUCAAUACCAGAAAACACUGGUUUGUAUCUGGGCAAAUUCCCAUCAGGAUACUGCUCAACUUACCAUAGUCCACCUGUAUCACUGCUAAUGAAUCACACAAAGACAAUCGGUGAUAUCUAUUGGUUAUGUGGUGACAAACAAUUAAGGCCCCAAUUAGCUGGCCAAUGGUGGGGGGAGUGUGCCCUAACCAAAGUCAUAAUGCCUAUCCACAUCAUUCCAGAUGGUGACCAUAACACGCUUAACCUCACACAUAUACACUCUAGAACCAAACGAGAGACCCCUAUUCGAGGGAGUUUCGACCCCCAUGUGUAUAUUGAUGCCAUAGGUGUGCCAAGGGGGGUGCCUAACGAAUUUAAAGCAAGAGAUGAAGUGGCUGCAGGGUUUGAGUCCCUAAUCCCAAUGAUAACUGCUAACAAGAAUGUCAAUUGGAUUAACUAUAUCUACUAUAAUCAGCAACGCUUUGUCAACUACACAAGGGAUGCCCUACAGGGCCUGGCAGAGCAACUACAAGCCACUACCCAAAUGACAUUUCAGAACAGAAUGGCCCUAGAUAUGAUUCUAGCCGAAAAAGGGGGAGUAUGUAAAAUCCUCCCUGAGACCAUGACAUGCUGCACAUACAUUCCAGACAACACGGGGCCCAAUGGUAAAGUGACUAUGGCCAUAGAAAAGCUAGAUAGUCUUGCAGACGAAUUAAAGAAGAAUUCGGGAGUCACUGACAUAUGGGACAAAUGGUUUGGGUGGAUGAAUGGCUGGCAAAAGACCCUCUUUCAGGUAGGGACAGCUGUUCUCAUGGUAUUCAUUAUCUUUUUGUUCUCAGCCUGUUGUAUACUCCCCUGUAUACAGAAAUAUCUGCAGAAAGCGGUAGAUAAGACUGUAGAUAAUGUGACCCCUACCUUCAUACAUCAGGAUAUCACAGACCUUGAAGAUGACACCCCACAUACACCCCUACAAACACAUCAGUUUAAACAGACAACUGCUUUUUUGUAGGGAUAGAGUAGGGAAAGCGUCUGUCUUGACAGGUGAGUCUCACGUGUGGAGAUGUAGUGGGUUAGCCACUGCGGGAUACCCGCGGAGUGAAGUGUUCGAUGCUUGUCAAGGCAGAUAGGUUGCGGGCAACUAGGGACAUAUUAGGGACAGCAGCAGUUGUAAUGGUAAAUAGCCAUUUUAGGGGGGACUGUUGUGGAAAUAAGGUCUACACAUAUUUCUUAGUUAAAGGAAAAUGUCUAUUUACUCAUUUUACAAUAUAUAUAUAUAUAUAUCUCAUAUAUAAAGCUAAGUACACAUAUUUCAAUCAAGAUGGCUGCUAGAAGCUUCUAACCCCUCCUUCCCCUCCCCUCCCUUUUUAAACAUCGACUAACUACCUCGUGUAACAAGAUGGCGCCGGAAAACCGUGGGAGACCCUCAUGGUCCCGGUGACAUCACCUGCAGUAGGCAGAGCAUUAGAGCAACCACUUAACACCUAACCAAUUAUUGAUGUAUUAUUCCAUGUUAUCUCUGACAAUGCAUAUGAUGUAAUUUUGCUUUAAAAGGGACUUGCCGUCCCCUCUGAAUAAACUUUCCUCAAGUUAUUCAACAACCUAGA
rnacentral:lncRNA from 1 species